rnacentral:rRNA from 1 species
UGGGGAAUUUUGGACAAUGGGCGCAAGCCUGAUCCAGCCAUGCCGCGUGAGUGAAGAAGGCCUUCGGGUUGUAAAGCUCUUUCGGCCGGGAAGAAAUCGUGGUCUCUAACAUAGGCCAUGGAUGACGGUACCGGACUAAGAAGCACCGGCUAACUACGUGCCAGCAGCCGCGGUAAUACGUAGGGUGCGAGCGUUAAUCGGAAUUACUGGGCGUAAAGCGUGCGCAGGCGGUUUUGUAAGACAGAUGUGAAAUCCCCGGGCUUAACCUGGGAACUGCGUUUGUGACUGCAAGGCUAGAGUACGGCAGAGGGGGGUGGAAUUCCUGGUGUAGCAGUGAAAUGCGUAGAGAUCAGGAGGAACACCGAUGGCGAAGGCAGCCCCCUGGGCCUGUACUGACGCUCAUGCACGAAAGCGUGGGGAGCAAACAG